GAAAUGCGAUACUUGGUGUGAAUUGCAGAAUCCCGUGAACCAUCGAGUCUUUGAACGCAAGUUGCGCCCGAAGCCAUUAGGCCGAGGGCACGCCUGCCUGGGUGUCACACAUCGUUUCCCCAACGCAAACAUGUAACAAUGUUGCUGCGCGGGAGGUCAGCAUACACCCCGCGAGCACCCGCCUCGUGGUUGGUUGAAAUCUGGGUUCAUGGC
rnacentral:misc_RNA from 1 species